GAGGCUUAUUCACUCGUGUGCGCAAGCGGUUACCUUGGUUAACCUAUUUCCCAGAGCCAGGCUCCACGCUCACUCUUCCUCUGGCUGAUUCACCACGAAAAGGACAGAUAGCUCGGCUUUCUGCUAAGCGUUAUUUGUCUUCUCCAAACCUGUGGUAAACUUGCCGAUCGCGGACUGUGAGCCGAGCUACCCAAAAACGAGUUUAAUAAACGUUGUGGGUACCUACACGGUGCCACGCGCGUUCUAGAACGUCGAGGAUACAGUGAUGACUGACACACCAUCCCUGCUUUGGAGGAGCACACAGUGAGGCGAGAGGCAUCUUAACCACUGAGAUAACGUGGUCGGUGCUAUCGAAGGUAUAAACAGUGUUACAGGCACACAGGCGAGGGGGUUUCUCCGACAGAUUGGUGUCAGGGAAGGCAUCUAAGAGGCAACAUUUGAGUUGGACUUUGGUGAAAACUGCGCCAGGUUGGAGUGGAGGGGAAGAGUGUUCUAAGUAGCAAGAACUUCAAAAGCAGAUGCGAAAGUACUUGCCCUGUACGCGCUAGGUAAACUUGGGAUAUAUGACUGGAGAUGAGUCUAGAAAGAAGAACCUGGCCUGGUUAGUCCUGCAGAGGGGUUUCCGCUUUCACACGCCCACCACCACCACCCCUAACAAUAGAAAGGAACCUGAGGACUCCUGGAUGGAUCUAAGCACAAGCGAUGUCUGCAAUAAUUGAACACCACAACCAACCAACUGAAGAUUGCACUAAUGGUUCCUUUUGCAAAGCUGCUGGAAUUCCACUGUCUGAAGAGUAUGUCGUGGGAAAGCUACACUUCAGUGGCUGCCAGCCUGCUCAAAAUUCAAAAUCCC
ensembl:lncRNA